UCAUGCCCAAAUGGUGAACCAGCUCGGAUAACGGAAAAACCGACCCAAACCAGCUCCGAUAACUGCAAAACCCGACCCGAAUCAGUAUACACAUGUCUCACGUGAUAGUAUGACGAGAAAGGUCUGAUAAUCUUCUAGAAUACACCCAGGUGUCUCCCCCAACGGCUAACUCCACGAAUCUCGGGUGCAAUGGUACGAAUUCGUACAGAUUUGGAAGAAUUUCAUUGGUUCUUGACCAUGAUUAAUUUUCCCCCAAUUUCAUUGGUCCACCCAUUUCAAAUUUUCUCAAGAAAAAUCUGAAUUUGUACAAGUUAUUGGCUGGAAAUCUGGUCCUCAGCUGGAAUUUCAAAAAUAUCCUUGUUAAAAUUCCCCAAAAUUACCCCUAAUAUUUUUCUCCCACAUUGAUGGGAGUUUGGAGUUGAACCCAGGAUUUCCCUCUAUAUAAGGCUCAUUAUAGAGCUAAAAUGGCCAAGUCUGGAAGGUGGAAAAGCUUUCGAGCAAAAAAGUUCCAUUUUUAUAGUAUAAAAUUUUUUCCGUGAAAAGUCGAUGGCUGCACGGAGUUUUUGGAGUCCCGGCAAAGUUUUCCGGGCGGUAAUCGAGAUUCCGUUGAAGGCUCGAGUCUCAUUUUAUUUCCCCGGAAAAGGUAAACACAUGUUUCCUUUCUAAUUUAUCAUCAAUUUUUCUUCAUCCCUUUCUCCGUAGUUUCGCAAUCGUAGUGGCUAGGAUUGUUUGCUGUAGAAAGCCUCGAAGGCUAUAGGAUUUUUGUGAUUGCUAUGCUCUUUCCAUCGAUUCAAUAUUCUCCCCAUAGUCGUUGGGUUACUAUUUAGUUUCUUAGUUGUUGGUUUAACCGUCUGUUCGUCCACGGUUUUAUUAUCCAUGUUAAUGUCUAAUAUAGUUUUUGAUGAUUGGUUCCCAGUUUGCUGUAAUUAGAGAAUUGGUGUCUAUGCUUGGAUCAUGUUCAUGUUUAAUACACAUUUCGUGCCUUAAAAUGAUCGCAGUAAUAGUCUAGUUUGGAUUAAUCUCAUUAUUGUGAUACGUCCAUUUCCACAGCAUCUUGUUUCUACCUAGAAUGUGAAUUUAUGUAUGAGAACUCGGUGCUUGUUUCUCUCUUGGCAGCGCCAUUCUAUUUAAAUAUCAGCUUCUCUUCGCGAAAAGCUUGCUAUGUUGAUCUUUUCUGUUGCCAUGUUCUUUAUCAUGAUUCAACUAAAAUCUAGGUUGAUCAGUUAUCUUAGUGAUAUUUGAUGAAGUAGUAAAAAGAGUUGGUUUUGAUUAGAUUUUAAACUGUGAAGUCUAUUUGCCUAAUAUACCUAUUGUCUGUAAGUUGUUCCUAAUUAUGUCACUAAUGCCUUAACACAUGUAUUAGGGGCUUAGUGAUAUGCCUACUUCGUGAAUCCUAUUGUUCGAACUAGAUCUUUAGAUUUAGUUUCUCACAGGGCAUUUAGUUAGUUCCUUUCAAAAGUGCAUUAGGCCUUUUGGUUCAAUUUUAUUUUGAUAUAUUGUUUUGAACUGCUUUAAUCUUCAUAGCAAUGUAUAACGUUGAAAUUUUUAUUUCGAUUUGGUAUGUCGAUUUGCAGUCCUUCAGUUGUCAGAACUAUGCAUAGGGUCCAUUUUUUAAAAUUCUAGUUUGAUCUGCUUAUUUGAAGUGCUUUGGUUGUAAAGACUUCGCAUACUUUAAAUUUUUAUUUUUAGGUACUUUAGUCGUAAGGGCUAUGUUUAUUGUCAAAUUUUAUUUCAAUCCUAGUCUAUUGAUUUGUAGUGUUUUAAUCGUUAGAACCAUGUAUAGUGUUCUAUUUUGAUUUUGAUUCAUUGAUUUAUUUUCAAGCCGUUGAAUCUUUUUAACUAACAUUAGAAUUAAAAUUGGAUGUGUAAGUUGGAACACUUUGUUUGUUUAUUGUUAACAUUAUGUUUGUCUUAUUUGAAUGUAUAAACUAGUUGUCUCUUUGGUUCUGUCUAGCAUUUAAUUGUAAGAUGGUUGGAGCUUUAUCUACUAAAAGAUGGCAUGAUUUUGUGGAAAGCUUUGCCUUCCUCAAGCUUAAAUCAUAUUAUUAAGUCAGCCAAGCUUGUUAAAAUGUAAAUCAGGUUAUUAUAGCUUUUCACUGUUGGCCAACUUUUUUGAGAAUUUUUAGGAUGUGCUACCGCUUGAUUACUGAUUGCCUUUUUGCUAUACUUGUUAUAUGUUGUGAGUUGAGUGUCUAUCGAAAACAGACUCUACUUCAUAUGAGGUAGCGGUAGGGACGGCACACUCUCUACUCUCCCCAAACCACACUUUAUGGGAAUACACUGGGUUUGUUGUUUUAGUAAAGUAUGAGGAUCUUAGAAAUUUAUAAUGUCCUUGAUUACUCCUUUAAAAUUGCAUAUGAGUUCUCUUUGUAAGAGCGAUUGCAUCUUGUUGCAUCCCGAAUUUACUUUUUGUGUGUUCUUUUGGAAUUUUGAUUGUAUUAACAUUUAAAGAUUUUGAAACAAUUAUGUUUUGAUCCUUCAAAAUUAUUGUCUCUAUUUCUUCCUUCUUUGAAAUUUCAAUCCUUAUGUCUUCUUUUGGAUGAUUAGGGAUGUUAGUUUUCUAGACUAUCAUUUGGCUCGGGUGAUUUAUUUUGAUAAAUGUGUACAUUUAGUCUAUAAGAUUAGUUGUUAAAUGAGUUCUUACUAGAUGGAUGGAUUCUAAUCCUUCUCCUUUCCCUUUUUGUUUGACAUGCAAAAGGUUGAGUCCGAAAUGGACUCUUCCCAUGUGCAUUUCGAUGAUGGGCCAAUGCGGCGUAUUUCCUUUUUGAGUCAUCCCAUUGAGCCCAUCAAAUUAGCUUGAUUCUUGGAGAAAGGAACUAUUGCCAAUGGAAGAAAAAUGGAUCAGGACCCACUGAUGAAGUUGCUAAGAUUAGGAGACUUGAAAAGUCUCACUUUGAUUUCUUUUAUUGAUUUGUAUUUAUUUAUUCAUUCAUUCAUCUGGGUCUCGAAGCCAAAGUUGUAAACUAAUACAGGUGAAGCAAAUUUUGGGUCAAAGGGUUCGAAAAAGAUUGUUUAGGACAGGUGCAGGUGGUUCAAGAGUUCAAUUAGAUUAGGACAGGGUUGAUAGAUUUGGGUCAACGAGCCUAAGUCUUCUAAUUCUCCUCUUCCCCUUUUACAUGCUAUUUGACUUUGAUUUGCUUAGACUUAGUUAAAUUCUCUACUAAGUUGUCAACAUUUAUUUCAUACAAGUCUUUUCCUAAAAUCACUUUCUUUUCAAAAAUCAACUUCCCUUUUUUAAAGUUAGUCAAAGGUGAUUUUCAAAUAGUCUGGAUAAUCGCAAGUUAGCGGACAUUUUAGGUGCCUUAAAAACCUUCCUAAGAUGUUAAUAAGGACCUCUUACCUAGGAUUUUCUUAAAAGCCUAAGUCUUUUUUCUAUUUUGAGACUUAGAAUUUUAUUUUAAAGUUUUCUUAAUUUCAUUUUAAAUAAAUUAAGUGGUGACUGUAAUUAUUUAGAUUAUUUAGAAAUUUUUAAAGUUUCAAAAUAGUUUUAAAAGUUGAAAUCAAUGUUUUACAACCCUUCGAGUUAAAAAGGGAUAAAACAGCUUAUACAUAAAAAUGUUAUGUAUGAAGAAACUGAUAACAUGAUAAUUUUCAUGUAAAUCAAACAUGAAUUUUAUAUAUAUGUUUUCAUACUUAGUGCUUUGAUUAUUUUUUAUGCAGCUAUGUCCUUCAUUGUCUUAACAAAGAUUGCAAAUGGAUCCUCAAGGCAUCUUGUAAGAAUGUAUUAGAUGUUUUGUGACUUGGUGAUUUGAUUCCAAACAUACUUACCGAGUUAGUGGUAGAGUUCUAAAAAAUUUAAUUACUACAACAAUUUUUGUGAGUGAAUUUACAACAACAAAGUUAGUAAAUCACAAGAGAAUACACAUCAGUGGACAUAAUUGAAGAAAUGAAGGGCAUUUAUGGAGUUGAUAUUAACAACAUGAAGGUAUGGCGAGCAAAAGAGAGGGCAAUAGCGAUGCUUAGAGAUGAUCUAGCUAAUGGAUAUCGAUAAAUAUCGCGAUAUAUUUAUAUGCAAAAUAAAGUGCAUCAUGCCUCCCAUAUUAGGAUGCAUAAGGCAGCGGAUAAUGAGUUUAAAUACUUGUUUAUUGCCUUAAAUCCCAUGAUAAGGGAUUUUCAGUUUUGCCAACCUGUUGUAGUUAUUGAUGGUGCUCAUUUAAGCGGUCCAUACAAAGAAACUUUUCUUUCGGCAAGCACACUUGAUGGUGUCGGUAUUAGUCAUACUUUUUUAUCCUUUUAUAUAGUGUUAUUUGAAAAGUUCAUUAAUUUUUGCGGUCUAUUAGUGUUUAAUUCAAAAUACAUAUUAUAGCGUCAAAAUAUUUGUUGGGUUAUAAUGUAUUUUUUUUGUUAAUUAGGUUGUAUUCUGCCAUUAGCUUACGGGGUUGUAGAUUCUGAGAAUUAUAAUUCGUUGACUUGAUUUUUCUAUCAAUUUAGGAAUGUUUUUGGCGAACGUGACAACAUGUGUGUUGUAUCGGAUCGAAACAAAAGUAUCAUAAAAAGUUUGAGCAUUGUGUAUCCUAAUGUCCCGCAUCCAGCAUGUAUUUGACACUUAUGGAAAACAUUCGCACUAAUUUUAGGAAAAGCAAAGGUAGACUUAGUGGCCAGUAUUAUUCUAUGGCUAAAGCUUAUAGAAAAGAAGAUUUUAAUUACAUUAUGUUAAAGGUUGCUAAAGAUGAUCAUAGGGUUAAGGAUCACCUGAAAGAAGUUGGAUAUGAAAAAUGAUCUCGAAGUCACUCACCUGUAAAUAGAGGUAGGAUCAUGAACUCUAAUAUAGUUGAAUAUAUUAAUGGUUGCUUGGUGGAGGCGGGUGAACUGCCUGUUUUAGGAUUUCUCAAAGGAGCAAGAAUUUUGUUUGCGGCAUGGAAUUGUAAAAAUAGUAAAAUUGUAUCUUAUACCAAGACAACCUUAGAGAGAAUAUUUGAAGAUAUUCUGACUCUUUAUGAGAUGAAAGCUUCUCGGAUGAUGGUAUGUCUUCGAAUAUAUAUAUGCAAUUAUAUUAAUUUUUUUCAUUUAUAAUUUUUAUUUUAUCAUAUGUAUUAAAGAUUGUGUGUGUAACAAGUUAAGGCAGCUGCAGUUAUCUUUAUUGUGUAUAUGAAUUCGAAAAAAGAUACAUUGUCGAUAUUGAACGUGACAGUGAAACUAUGGCCGGUAUCAAAGUGAUGAAAUAUCUUGCCCUCACGCAAUUGCAGUAUUGAAGAGUAAAUAUGUAGAUGAUUAUAGUCCUUACUGCUUAGAUUUAUAUAGGCCAAAUACUAUUGUUAAGACGUAUGAGUUUUCAAUAAUUUCAAUGCCAGACAUGAAGGAUUGAAAAGUGCCUCAAUUUGGUGAAGAUAAAG
rnacentral:lncRNA from 1 species